GCAAGAUUAAAACUCAAAGAAUUGACGGGGGCCCGCACAAGCGGUGGAGCAUGUGGUUCAAUUCGAAGCAACGCGAAGAACCUUACCAGCCCUUGACAUGGGGGUCGCGGGAUCCGGAGACGGUUCCUUUCAGUUCGGCUGGACCCCACACAGGUGCUGCAUGGCUGUCGUCAGCUCGUGUCGUGAGAUGUUGGGUUAAGUCCCGCAACGAGCGCAACCCUUGUCCUCAGUUGCCAGCGGUUCGGCCGGGUACUCUGGGGAAACUGCCGGUGACAAGCCGGAGGAAGGCGGGGAUGACGUCAAGUCCUCAUGGCCCUUACGGGCUGGGCUACACACGUGCUACAAUGGCUGGGACAAUGGGUUGCUCCCUCGCAAGAGGAUGCUAAUCCCAAAAACCUGGUCUUAGUUCGGAUAGUUGGCUGCAACUCGUCGACCUGAAGCUGGAAUCGCUAGUAAUCGGAGAUCAGCACGCUCCGGUGAAUACGUUCCCGGGCCUUGUACACACCGCCCGUCACACCACGAAAGCUGCGUGUACCAGAAGUCACUGGGCCAACCCCUUUGGGGAGGUAGGUGCCGAAGGUGUGCGUGGUAAUUGGGGUG
rnacentral:rRNA from 1 species